rnacentral:siRNA from 1 species
CACACAACCAUAAUUGUAUUC